rnacentral:rRNA from 1 species
GGCUCAUCACAUCCUGGGGCUGUAGUAGGUCCCAAGGGUUGGGCUGUUCGCCCAUUAAAGUGGUACGCGAGCUGGGUUCAGAACGUCGUGAGACAGUUCGGUCCCUAUCCGUCGCAGGCGUAGGAAAUUUGAGAAGACCUGUCCUUAGUACGAGAGGACCGGGAUGGACGUACCUCUGGUGUACCAGUUGUCCUGCCAAGGGCAUGGCUGGGUAGCUAUGUACGGAAUGGAUAAGCGCUGAAAGCAUCUAAGCGCGAAGCCAACUUCAAGAUAAGAUUUCCCACCGCAAGGGUAAGACCCCAGAAAGACUAUCUGGUUGAUAGGUCGAAGGUGUAAGUGCAGCAAUGUAUUUAGCUUAUCGAUACUAAUAGGUCGAGGACUUGACCAAU